rnacentral:rRNA from 1 species
AUUGCACGCUGGCGGCAGGCCUAACACAUGCAAGUCGAGCGGAGCGGCGGACGGGUGAGUAAUGCCUAGGAAUCUGCCUGGUAGUGGGGGAUCACGUCCGGAAACGGGCGCUAAUACCGCAUAAUAUCAGCUGAGCCUAGGUCGGAUUAGCUAGUUGGUGGGGUAAAGGCCUACCAAGGCGACGCUCCGUAACUGUUCUGAGAGGAUGAUCAGUCACACUGGAACUGAGAAACGGUCCAGACUCCUAAGGGAGGCAGCAGUGGGGAAGAUUGGACAAUGGGCGAAAGCCUGAUCCAGCCAUGCAGUGUGUGGGAAGAAGGUCGUCGGAUUGUAAAGCACUUUAAGUUGGGAGGCGUUACCAACAGAAUAAGCACCGGCUAACUUCGUGCCAGCAGCCGCGGUAAUUC